GACCAAGGGAUAAAGUUAUAUUGUUAGGUAAAAAGACGGUUAAGUUGUCAGAUAUAGUUUAAUGAUUUUUUAUAAAAGGGUAAAAUUUGAAUAUAAAAAUUUAAUUUUUUGUAGGCUAUAAUAUUGAAGCUGUGAUAGUUUUGAGGGAAACUGGGAUUAGAUACCCCAUUAUUCAUAAAUUGUAAAUGAACAUGAGUUUACCAGAGUAGUAUGAAUAUAUAAAAAUUUAAAACUCAAAGGGCUUGGCGGUGUUUUAGACCAAUUAGGGGAACCUGUCUCAUAAUCGACAGUCCACGUUAUACCUAACCUUUUUUAGUGAACAGUUUGUAUACCGUUGUCGUCAGGUAACUUUUAAAAAUAAAGAAGUUGGCAUUAAUAAUAAAAUUAAUUAAGACGUCAGAUCAAGGUGCAGCCUAUAAAAAGGAGAGGAUGGGUUACAAUUAUAAAAUAAUAAUUAUGGAUAGAAUAAUGAAAUAAACUUAAAGGAGGACUUAAAAGUAAUGUUGUAAUAUAUAAAUAAUUUGAAUUUGGCUCUGAAACGUGU
rnacentral:rRNA from 1 species